rnacentral:rRNA from 1 species
GAUGAACGCUGGCGGCGUGCUUAACACAUGCAAGUCGAACGGAGUUAUUUGAAAGCUUGCUUUUGAAUAACUUAGUGGCGGACGGGUGAGUAACGCGUGGGUGACCUGCCUUAUACUGGGGGGAUAACACUUAGAAAUAGGUGCUAAUACCGCAUAAGCGCACAGUUCUGCAUGGAACAGUGUGAAAAACUCCGGUGGUAUAAGAUGGACCCGCGUCUGAUUAGCUGGUUGGUGAGGUAACGGCUCACCAAGGCGACGAUCAGUAGCCGGCCUGAGAGGGUGAACGGCCACAUUGGGACUGAGACACGGUCCAAACUCCUACGGGAGGCAGCAGUGGGGAAUAUUGCACAAUGGGGGGAAACCCUGAUGCAGCGACGCCGCGUGAGUGAUGAAGUAUUUCGGUACGUAAAGCUCUAUCAGCAAGGAAGAAAUACCGACCUUUGGCGCUAGACGUACUUGACUAAGAAGCCCCGGCUAACUACGUG